CUGUGUGCGGUUCCUUGACCACUCUCCAGAACUCCGAUGCAAGUGAAAUCGUCAAUGGAGCAGUUGAAAAAUGUGCCAACGCAUGUUUGACAGUCUGCACCAAA